UUUGAUGGCGACCGGCGCACGGGUGAGUAACACGUAUCCAACCUGCCGAUGACUCGGGGAUAGCCUUUCGAAAGAAAGAUUAAUACCCGAUGGCAGUAGUUCUUCCGCAUGGUGGAACUAUUAAAGAAUUUCGGUCAUCGAUGGGGAUGCGUUCCAUUAGGUUGUUGGCGGGGUAACGGCCCACCAAGCCUUCGAUGGAUAGGGGUUCUGAGAGGAAGGUCCCCCACAUUGGAACUGAGACACGGUCCAAACUCCUACGGGAGGCAGCAUG
rnacentral:rRNA from 1 species